CCCCUUUGUCCCCUGGGUCCCUGAACCUUCAACUCCUUAUUUUAGGAAAUGAAAAUUUCAAAAGAGACUGCCCUUAUCCUGCUGUGGUAAGGGUGGGGACUGUUCACUGGACAGGCCCAUCCCCCCUGGCCAAUGGCCCUCAACCAUGGGAGCCUGACCAGUUGCCCAACCGCCAAGACUCAGGCGUCCUCAUCCUCCAUACUUACUGUCCCCCACCUUUAGAUAUCUUCCAGCCAAGCCCUCCAGACAGCCCAGGCGAAUUCCUCCGACUCCCGGCGGUGGCGGCGCUUACACGCGAUUCGCGUUCAUCAAUCCACGACAUGAAGACAGGCGAGAGAGGGAGAGAGCGAGAGAGCGAGAGAGGGAGAGAGGGAGAGAGAGAGAGAGAGA